UACAGAGACUGCAAGCGUUAUUCGGAUUCACUGGGCGUAAAGGGUGCGCAGGCGGUCGGGUGUGUCAGAUGUGAAAUCCCGAGGCUCAACCUCGGAACUGCGUCUGAAACUACUCGACUAGAGUACUGGAGAGGGUAACGGAAUUCACGGUGUAGCAGUGAAAUGCGUAGAUAUCGGGAGGAACACCUGUGGCGAAAGCGGCUCACUGGACCACAACUGACGCUGAUGCACGAAAGCUAGGGGAGCAAACAGG
rnacentral:rRNA from 1 species